rnacentral:RNase_P_RNA from 1 species
UUAAUUGUGUAGACAUGUUUGAAAAUAGGUGCUGGAAGGAAAGUCCGAACACCUGGAGCAAAAUACUUCGUAACACGAAGUCCCGGUAAAGGGAAGAUAGUGCCACAGAAAACAAACCGUCCUGAAUCUUUUCGGGAUAAGGGUGAAAAGGUGGUGUAAGAGACCACCAGUUCCCCGAGUGAUCGGGAAAGCUUGGUAAACCUUAUUGGUGCAAGGUCAAAUAGGAGAGGAUCCUUCUGAUAUUUCGAAGGAACGAAUAGCUCCGUUCGUUAUACUCUCGGGUAGACCGCAAAAAUCAGUCUCCCGAACUGACGGGGUGAAUCCCGAUACAUCGGGAUGCGGUGACGCCUGAUUUAGAUAAAUGAUUGUCGUCCCGACUUCUUUAAGUCGGGAAACAGAAUUCGGCUUAUUAUUUUCUUUAGUAG